UAUGAAGGGGGCUAGCGUUGUUCGGAUUUACUGGGCGUAAAGCGCACGUAGGCGGAUCGUUAAGUCGGGGGUGAAAUCCUGGAGCUCAACUCCAGAACUGCCUUCGAUACUGGCGAUCUAGAGUCCGGAAGAGGUGAGUGGAACUCCUAGUGUAGAGGUGGAAUUCGUAGAUAUUAGGAAGAACACCAGUGGCGAAGGCGGCUCACUGGUCCGGUACUGACGCUGAGGUGCGAAAGCGUGGGGAGCAAACAGG
rnacentral:rRNA from 1 species